GAUGAGGUGGGCGAGUGGUUAAGGCAAUGGCCUCCUAAUUCGUUGGGCUCUGCCCGUGUGGGUUCGAAUCCCAUCCUCGUCG